CCUACGGGAGGCAGCAGUGGGGAAUAUUGCACAAUGGGGGAAACCCUGAUGCAGCCACGCCGCGUGAGUGAAGAAGUAUUUCGGUAUGUAAAGCUCUAUCAGCCGGGAAGAAGAAAGACGGUACCUGACUAAGAAGCCCCGGCUAACUACGUGCCAGCAGCCGCGGUAAUCCUUAGGGGGCAAGCGUUAUCCGGAUUUACUGGGUGUAAAGGGAGCGUAGACGGCUGUGCAAGUCUGAAGUGAAAGCCCGUGGCUCAACCGCGGAACUGCUUUGGAAACUGUAUAGCUGGAGUACUGGAGAGGCAGGCGGAACUCCUAGUGUAGCGGUGAAAUGCGUAGAUAUUAGGAGGAACACCAGGGGCGAAGGCGGCCUGCUGGACAGAAACUGACGUUGAGGCUCGAAAGCGUGGGGAGCAAACAGGAUUAGAUACCCUUGUAGUC
rnacentral:rRNA from 1 species